AACGAACGCUGGCGGCAUGCCUAACACAUGCGAGUCGAACGAGACCUUCGGGUCUAGUGGCGCACGGGUGCGUAACGCGUGGGAACCUGCCCUUAGGUUUGGAAUAACUCCCCGAAAGGGGUGCUAAUACCGGAUAAUGUCUUCGGACCAAAGAUUUAUCGCCUUUGGAUGGGCCUGCGUUGGAUUAGCUAGUUGGUAGGGUAAAAGCCUACCAAGGCGACGAUCCAUAGCUGGUCUGAGAGGAUGCUCAGCCACACUGGGACUGAGACACGGCCCAGACUCCUACGGGAGGCAGCAGUGGGGAAUAUUGGACAAUGGGCGAAAGCCUGAUCCACCAAUGCCGCGUGAGUGAUGAAGGCCUGAGGGUUGUAAAGCUCGUUUACCCGGGAUGAUAAUGACAGUACCGGGAGAAUAAGCUCCGGCUAACUCCGUG
rnacentral:rRNA from 1 species